rnacentral:misc_RNA from 1 species
AAUCGAAUAUGCUCAGUUCAUGCAAUAUUUUAUCAGAAAUUUCAAGUUUUAUUGAUACAAGGAACAAUAAAGUUUUGUUUCAAUACCACUAUCAUGGUAUAACCUUUAAAAGGUUUGGAAACAAUUGUAUCCUCCACAGUUUAGACACUGACAAAUGAAGGAUUCCUUUUAAUAAUCCGAAAUUUAAGUUGGUUUGUUAGCUCCAUG